UGAAUUCACAGCAGCAGUGACACAGUGAGAACAUGUAGGCUUUGCUGAUAAACUUUGGUGACACUUGUAAGAGCCCAGCUCAUCCAUUAAAACAUGGGAUUGUGCAAGCUGCUUAAGAAAUGUACACUGACUGGCUGUGGCUGUAUCUGCUCCUGAGUUCUUAGUUUUACAGUCCAGCUACUCAUUAAUCUGUUGGAAUGGCUUUCACUUCACAGUGUCCAAGAACAAUGUGCCAAUCAUGCUGAUGGAAAAACAAAAAUCAAUCUCUGAAAAUACCACAGCCAAACAAAGCAAACAAGAAAUUAAAAAGCAUAUCUUACACUACUUGAAGUAAAAAUGCAGCAAAAGGGAAUGAAUAUUAAUCAAGCAUUUGAUUAUUUGGCUUUAGGAUUGUCAGCAGUUGAUGCUGUUGUUCCUGCUAACAAAGCCAACUUCUUGGAGGAGAGACAAUUAAGGAACACAUUUCAAAGCUGGGCCAAAGUUUAAAGUCCACCUCUGCUUUUCAGAAUAACUUAUGACAAGAAGAAUGUGUGCUUACUGAUAGGUUAUUUUAAAACCCUCCUGCAGAGUAAAUGGACACUUUACAAUAAUAUGAACCAAUACCAAUAAUGGUGCAGUGAACCUGAUCUUCAGUGUGAUCUACAGCCCAGCCUGAGCAAUAAAAAGUUCUGUUUAAAUCAAAGAAACACUGGAACUCUUCAAACUUCCCUGACCUUAUCCUCAGGCUCUAAGGAUUUUAGGAAUGCCACAUCCUGCACUCCUGCAGCUGGCAGUCACAUUGCCCCAAGACUGCCUUGAGUGCAUGUGCUUUGUCAAGCACACAGGAUUUUGGAAUAACCAUCAGUGUGGAUCCCAUGUACAGCAUGCCAGUGCACACUGCAAGACCCACCUUGUUGUCAACUUUGUGACCAAAAGCCUCUGAGAUGGGGCUGUUCAGAGAGGCUCUUUUCUGCUCAGAUGCUUUUCUGCAGUCUAGAAUCAAACACUACUGCUCCAGAAGCAAACAUAGGGUCAAUGAGCAUAUAUUGUGACAUGGGACAUAUGGAAGCCAAAGCAAGGGCAAAUUGACGUGAAUUCAGGAAAUGGACAAGAAGAGGGAAAGUACA